rnacentral:tRNA from 1 species
GGGGAUUUAGCUCAGGGGGUUAAGUGCCUGCCUUGCAAGCAGGUGGUCGAGUUCGAUCCCCA